rnacentral:rRNA from 1 species
CUAGCUACAGGCUUAACACAUGCAAGUCGAGGGGCAGCAUGUCGGUUGCUUGCAACCGAUGAUGGCGACCGGCGCACGGGUGAGUAACGCGUAUCCAACCUACCCUUGUCCAUCGGAUAACCCGUCGAAAGGCGGCCUAACACGAUAUGCGGUUCACCGCAGGCAUCUAACGUGAACGAAAUGUGAAGGAGAAGGAUGGGGAUGCGUCUGAUUAGCUUGUUGGCGGGGUAACGGCCCACCAAGGCGACGAUCAGUAGGGGUUCUGAGAGGAAGGUCCCCCACAUUGGAACUGAGACACGGUCCAAACUCCUACGGGAGGCAGCAGUGAGGAAUAUUGGUCAAUGGACGAGAGUCUGAACCAGCCAAGUAGCGUGCAGGAUGACGGCCCUAUGGGUUGUAAACUGCUUUUAUAGGGGGAUAAAGUGUGCCACGUGUGGCAUAUUGCAGGUACCCUAUGAAUAAGGACCGGCUAAUUCCGUGCCAGCAGCCGCGGUAAUACGGAAGGUCCGGGCGUUAUCCGGAUUUAUUGGGUUUAAAGGGAGCGUAGGCCGUUUGGUAAGCGUGUUGUGAAAUGUCGGGGCUCAACCUGGGCAUUGCAGCGCGAACUGCCAGACUUGAGUGCGCAGGAAGUAGGCGGAAUUCGUCGUGUAGCGGUGAAAUGCUUAGAUAUGACGAAGAACUCCGAUUGCGAAGGCAGCCUGCUGUAGCGCAACUGACGCUGAAGCUCGAAAGCGUGGGUAUCGAACAGGAUUAGAUACCCUGGUAGUCCACGCGGUAAACGAUGGAUGCUCGCUGUUUGCGUCUGACGUAAGCGGCCAAGCGAAAGCGUUAAGCAUCCCACCUGGGGAGUACGCCGGCAACGGUGAAACUCAAAGGAAUUGACGG